rnacentral:rRNA from 1 species
GACGAACGCUGGCGGCGUGCCUAAUACAUGCAAGUAGAACGCACAGUUUAUACCGUAGCUUGCUACACUAUAGACUGUGAGUUGCGAACGGGUGAGUAACGCGUAGGUAACCUUCCUGGUAGCGGGGGAUAACUAUUGGAAACGAUAGCUAAUACCGCAUAAUAUUAAUUAUUGCAUGAUAAUUAAUUGAAAGGUGCAAUUGCACCACUACCAGAUGGACCUGCGUUGUAUUAGCUAGUAGGUGAGGUAACGGCUCACCUAGGCGACGAUACAUAGCCGACCUGGGAGGGUGAUCGGCCACACUGGGACUGAGACACGGCCCAGACUCCUACGGGAGGCAGCAGUAGGGAAUCUUCGGGAAUGGAAGAAAGUCUGACCGAGCAACGCCGCGUGAGUGAAGAAGGUUUUCGGAUCGUAAAGCUCUGUUGUAAGAGAAGAACGGGUGUGAGAGUGGAAAGUUCACACUGUGACGGUAUCUUACCAGAAAGGGACGGCUAACUACGUG